AGAGUUUGAUCCUGGCUCAGGAUGAACGCUGGCGGCGUGCCUAACACAUGCAAGUCGAACGAAGCUUGACGGAUGAUUUCUUCGGAAUGAAACCUGAUAUGACUUAGUGGCGGACGGGUGAGUAACACGUGAGCAACCUGCCUUUCAGAGGGGGAUAACGGCUGGAAACGGUCGCUAAUACCGCAUGACGUGUUCGGAUGGCAUCAUCUGAACAUCAAAGAUUUAUCGCUGAAAGAUGGGCUCGCGUCUGAUUAGAUAGUUGGUGGGGUAACGGCCUACCAAGUCUACGAUCAGUAGCCGGACUGAGAGGUUGAACGGCCACAUUGGGACUGAGAUACGGCCCAGACUCCUACGGGAGGCAGCAGUGGGGAAUAUUGCACAAUGGGGGAAACCCUGAUGCAGCAACGCCGCGUGAAGGAUGACGGUUUUCGGAUUGUAAACUUCUUUUCUUAGUGACGAAGACAGUGACGGUAGCUAAGGAAUAAGCAUCGGCUAACUACGUGCCAGCAGCCGCGGUAAUACGUAGGAUGCAAGCGUUAUCCGGAUUUACUGGGUGUAAAGGGAGCGCAGGCGGGACUGCAAGUUGGAUGUGAAAUACCGUGGCUUAACCACGGAACUGCAUCCAAAACUGUAGUUCUUGAGUGAAGUAGAGGCAAGCGGAAUUCCGAGUGUAGCGGUGAAAUGCGUAGAUAUUCGGAGGAACACCAGUGGCGAAGGCGGCUUGCUGGGCUUUAACUGACGCUGAGGCUCGAAAGUGUGGGGAGCAAACAGGAUUAGAUACCCUGGUAGUCCACACUGUAAACGAUGAUAGCUAGGUGUGGGGGGUCUGACCCCUUCCGUGCCGGAGUUAACGCAAUAAGCUAUCCACCUGGGGAGUACGACCGCAAGGUUGAAACUCAAAGGAAUUGACGGGGGCCCGCACAAGCAGUGGAUUAUGUGGUUUAAUUCGAAGCAACGCGAAGAACCUUACCAGGUCUUGACAUCCGACUAACGAGAUAGAGAUAUGUCAGGUGCCCUUCGGGGAAAGUCGAGACAGGUGGUGCAUGGUUGUCGUCAGCUCGUGUCGUGAGAUGUUGGGUUAAGU
rnacentral:rRNA from 1 species